rnacentral:misc_RNA from 1 species
UGACUUCUUCCCUAGGCGCCGAGGGGGCAAGACCUGCAUCGAAUGAGCUCCUCAAGCUAAGUAUAAUUUUUAUAUUUCCAGGCUAGCUGGAAGUAUAUUCUGUUAGGUAUUAGUAUCUAAAGGUAUACCGAUUAGUUUCCAGGUGUUUUUGUUUUUCUAAAGUUAAUUUUCUUUGAUUUCUGAGCAUUUUUGUGUGAGCUAGGCCUAGCGGGAAAAAAUCAAGAUGGUUGCCACUUGAUUUUGCGUCCAAACUCAGAGUUUGAGCGCUCGCCCGUACGUAUAAAUCUAACGCCCGUGUUCCUCGCGUUUGCGCGAACACGAGCGUGUGUUUGUUUCUUUUGUAGAGCCAAAACUUUUAUUUUUACUGCUACUUUGAGUUUCGAAGUGGUGCGGUGCUAGGCCAGGGGGCAAACAAAGGAAGCCUGAACUACGCAGGCUAACUUCUUUUUAUUUCUUUUCGGGGGGUUUUCCGCUUAGCUGGACGGGUAAGCUAGGUCCCUUGUGUAACUAAAAGCCUAGCACCACCCUUUCCAGGUGGUGCAGUCUGUGUAUUUCAGUUUUUUGCUGAUUUAUAGGCUUUUUGUUCAAGCGCACUUUUCCCGCCUUUUUUCUUCCGACCGAAAACGCUAUGUAGUAUUUUUUUUUCUUUCUUAACACUAAUGGCGGUGCAGGGCUAAGGUCGGCACUCGUUGCUGUAGCGCGGUCGCGAGAAUACGUUUGUUUGGCCUUUUUUUUCCCAUUUUAGGCCAUUUUCUAUUAUUUUUAGGGGUGUCCCUUUGUGAUUUUGUCCGCGCCAUUUUUGGCACAAAAGACUCUCUUCUUUCGUCGCGAAGAGUAGCUGGGGAUUUUGGUACUGCGAUUCGGCUGGGCUUCGGGUUUGGUUUUUAUUUUUGCGUUUGGGCGUUUCUUUUGCAAGCCUGUCCGUCAUCUGAGACGCUCAGAUGCCGGGCAGCACUACUGGCGAUGCCUCCCCCCCGGGGGAGGAGGUAACUGAGAAGGGCAACGGGGAUUCGCCUCCGACCCAAGAGACGCUCGCCGCGCAGGCAAAAAACAUGAAAUUUAAACUUAACCCGAACUCCGCAACUCUGGUAGACAUGUACCAUGACAUAAGUGAGGCAAUCCCAGCGGUGGGCACUAAAACCAGUAAGACUCACGUGGCCAACCUGCACGCUGCAUACGACCGUCUGUUUGGUUUUGCCCUAGACCUAAUCAACCAGAACACAACACUUGCGGCAAAGAUGGAAGCGUACAAGGAAGAGAGGGAGAGGGCCCCAGCCCCCGCAGCCCCGUCCCCCACGCCGGAGAGUGUUGCCGCCCUGCAGCGCACCUUCUCGCAGGUUCUCCAGCAGAACCCGGCGACUUCGAGCCCGAGCCCCGCCGGCCAGCAGCAGGGGGGGGGCAUCACCCGAGGCCCCCAAGCCAACAACACCACCCUCAGCCCCCAGGGAGAGCCUUUUGAUCUACCCUGCAACCAAGCCAGCAGCUGGGGUGGAGCCCUACGCAGGGAUCUCCCACCUGCUGCGUACUACCUUCCAGCCCGCGGACCUCGGACUCGGCUGCGUCGAGAUCAAGCAAGUGCGAGCACCCUCGCGAUCCCCACCCGAAGACAGACAGCAACCCCGAUUCGACCAUAAAAUUGUUUAUUCCUCAAGAAGCCUGUAAUCAAGAACCAACUACCGCCGACCAUCAUCCAGCAAGCCGUCCAGAUCCAUAAUUCGACCAUAGAACUGUUAAAACAUCAAGCAUCAUGUAAAAAGAACUUUCAACAACCAUCGUCAACUAGCCCGAAACGCCACUCAAGAGAAGUCAUCAGAGAAGAACUGGGGGGGAG